AACGAACGCUGGCGGCGUGCCUAACACAUGCAAGUCGAGCGCGAAAGGAGCAAUCCGAGUAGAGCGGCGCACGGGUGCGUAACACGUGGAUAAUCUGCCUCAGGGUUGAGGAUAACCUUCCGAAAGGUUGGCUAAUACUCGGUAAGCUUACGGUGACCUUGGUCGCUGUGAGAAAACUAGACCUCUAUUUAUAAGUUUAGGCCCAGAGAUGAGUCCGCGGCCCAUCAGCUAGUUGGUGGGGUAAAGGCCUACCAAGGCGACGAUCCGUAGCUGGUCUGAGAGGAUGAUCAGCCACACUGGAACUGAGACACGGUCCAGACUCCUACGGGAGGCAGCAGUGGGGAAUAUUGGACAAUGGGCGAAAGCCUGAUCCAGCCAUGCCGCGUGUGUGAAGAAGGCCUUCGGGUUGUAAAGCACUUUAAGCGAGGAGGAAUGGCUCUUGGUUAAUAACCUUGAGCAGUGACGUUACUCGCAGAAUAAGCACCGGCUAACUCUGUGCCAGCAGCCGCCGUAACAC
rnacentral:rRNA from 1 species